UUUGCAUCUCUCAUCCCUGAAAUACAGCCAGGUCAACACUAAACCGUCCUGCACACCUAGAAAACGGUGUGCGCAACCUGAACCACCAGAUCUUACUGUGAAAUUAGCAACAGAAGAUCCAUGAUGACAAGGUGGUCCUGCCCACUCCUGCCAUUAACGAGCUGACCCCCUUCCCUCACAGCCUUCCCAGAAGACACGGGAUAUCGUCCCACACAGAGCUGCUAUGACUCACAUGCGAGUCCGUACAAAUACAGGAAGAAGUACAUAAAUACUACUCCUCUCCUCAACACCUUUCUUCAAGCUGGUGUUUUCCACCCAUGGUGUCUGCAAAUGGGAAAAACCUUCUCCUGCCAAAAUGCGAAAUGUACAAAAUGAUUAACCUCCAAGGGCGCAGUAUUGCAAAGACCUUGGAGAUGAGAUGCCCGUCUGAGCCUUCAAAGGGCCUCCCCGCAAGACCAAGGAUGCCCACAAAAUGGGAGCAAGUGACAAUGUCACAUCUCUCAGGUCUGCCGCCCUCCUCCCCUGGCAUCUCCCUGUUCCCAUCCCAACGCUCUUUGACCCAGGCUCACUGACACCCCUCGGCCACGACUACAGAGCCAUGAAGACUGACAGCUCUCGGGGACCACCCACAGGAGCCACAGGUCUGCCUACAUGUGAACAAAGUCUGACUCUGGACC